CUACUGCGACAUCGACAUCGCGGGCCAGGGAGGAAGGGGGCCUGGCAGCCUCGCGGGGUCGGGCCCUGGGCUUCUCCCAGCACAGCGCCGGAACCCUGGCUCCUGCGGUCACGCGACGCCAAGAAUAUCAGGGAGGACAGGGACCAUGAGUCAGGAAAACCAAGCCAGAAACAUGAAAGGAAGUGUGUGGCCCAGCACGGGACUCAGAAUGACCCAGAAAACCCGCCAAGCUCUGAGCCCCAUGACGGACGCUCCCUCCCUGCCUCCCUCACCCGCGACCUGUCGCCCAGGUAUCCUAGGCAGAGCCGGCACCCAGCCCGGCGCUCAGGGGCUCAGGGCCAGGGCCAGGGCCAGGGCCAGGGCCGCAGCCUCCCUCCGUCUUCCUCCAGGGCCUCGGAGGCCCGGCUCACCCUCCAGCCCCGCCCUGCCCAGCCCAGCUCUCCAGGAGGAGAAUUAGACCUGGCCUGCCUCGGGCUCCGCGCCUCCCACCCGGGCCCUCCCUGCAGAGAGCGUGGCAUCUGCGUGGCAGCCUUUUAUCCGCCACCUCUGAGCUCCGCUGCUGAAACCGAGAGGAGAAUGGACACUGGGCCCGGCAGCCCGCACCGGAGAGAAGCGACUCGGCCAGAGGCAGGCGCGGAAGGACUGGACAUGCGCGCGCGUGGAGGCGUCGUGGACCCUCUCUCCACCGUCCUGGUCCACACAGGGGCUACCUGUUCGGCCUGACCCGGAGGGCCCCCUGCGACCGGGCACUCGGAGCCGGCGACGCGCAGCACCCAGAGCUAGACCUCAGUGGGAGAAGCGCCCAGCUCCACCGCGGCCCAGCAUGAGCCACGCCCAGCGCGCAGGCCCCGCCCCGGCCCUCGAUCCCCGCCCCGAGCCCCCCACCCCCGGACCCGCGAGCCCCGCCCCUGGCCCACGAGUUCCGCCCCAGGCGCGGCUGAGGCCCGAGGAGCCACCGGCGAGCGUGAUGCGCAGCUGAGGGCUGGGAGCUUUCGGCGUCGGCGGGCUUGUCCGCAUCCCCAGUAUCCCGCGGGUCGAAGGCCGGCGUCAGCGUCUUUACAGCCUCUAAAGGAUGAGGUCUGGGUGAGCCGUGGCCGCGUGCAGGGUCCCUGGGGCCGUGGGAGGAAGGUGAGGCACGGCCUGAGUCGGCGGCCUGCUUCUGAGCUCCCUGCUGCGCCCCAGGCCGGGCGGGUCCAGCUCCCCGCGGUCCAGGCGCUGCACCAGGGCCCUGGCGUCGCUGUGUGCUGUUCUUGGGCGCAGAGGGGCCGCCCCACGGUGGAGGUGGGGUCGCUGCAGCCCCCAAAGGUAGAUCAGCUUUUCUUCCCCGUGUCCCGUGGCCCUGACCCCCACACCUAACGGAAGCCGGCGUCGGGAUAAUGCGAGGUCGGUCGAGGCUCAGACUUUCUGAGCUCAGGUAAGUUUCCAAAGUGAGCCUCAAACUUGAGAGGGGAAGGGAGUUGGGGUGCGGAGGGAAGGCUGCGCGGCUCCUGCAGGCCCCGCUCCCGCACGCCCGUAGGAUCCCGACGGAGGGUCAGGGUACGAAGGCCGGACGAGCCGUCCCCCUUUCACUCGGCCGAGCAGCUGUGGCUCCGGUCUCUCUUGCAGCUUUAGGCAUGGGGACCGCAUUCCACCUUCGGAUUUGUAUCGGAUUUCCAUCGUUGCUUUGAUGUUACUGUUCCCUUCGUGGAUAGAGGACUGGGAGAAAUGGAGGAGGUGGGGAUGUGAGAUGCUGAGUGUCAGGCUCGUGGAGCGCCUAGGAUCGUGGCAGGCGGGCCUGACUCACCUCAGUGCUUGUUCAGAAGCGGGGUGCGGUGGGCCCGAGUCGGAAACCGCGGGGAGACAGGUGUGGUGAGCGCCUUCGUCCACCAGGGGCGCCUCGGCCAAGGCGGCGGGAGGAGCCCGGUCCCCGGGUUUGGCCCAGGAACGUGCCCGCCAUCCCGUGGUCUCCACCCCACGCCCGUCUCCAGGCGCACGGUCCGCUCGCCCUCAGCCACCACUCGGCGCCACCUGCAGCUCCUGGUGGGCCCCCAGCUCCCGGUCCGAGCAGGCUCCGCCUGCGGGAAGCGCGGCGCCGGACGCUUUCUCAGCCAAGGACGCCGGGACAGGCGCGAGCGGAAUCGAGGGCUAGCGGUUUGGUGACCCUCGCUUGGUUGUUCCGGAGCCUUUGAGGGAGAGGGCAGCACAGAGGAGACGGCGAGGGGCACCGGGCACCAGGGCUCCUCCAGCGCCCGAGACUAACCUGUGGCAGUGGUAAGCGUGUGAGGGCCGGGGUUUCCUGGCGAGGGGGUCGCUGGGGAGCAGAGGACACGGGUGAGACACGGCCUGACACCCCACAUCUGCCCGAGCAGCGAAGUCUCCACGAACUGGCGUCCACUCCCUACCCCACCCCGGUCCUGCUCCAGUGUCCGAAUGCCACCCCCCCCCCCCCCGCUCUUUCCAUGCUCCUUCAUCUCAGGUGGGAAGUGAGAACAGUUGUUCAUUCCACCUAACUUAGGCCAGGGAGCGGGGCCCCAGGUCAGGGAGUCCAUUCUGCAGCCCGCUCCCCAGGCUUCCCCCAAGGGCCGGUUCGGUGCCUUCUCGCCUGGUCCUCCAUGUGGUCCGCCUCUCCCCGCCCGACAGGGGAGCCAGUGUCCACGCGGGCCCUGCUGGGGAGGGUGACUCCGGAUAAGCCUUCUCUAACUGGCAGAGAAAACAAGUCUUGGCCUUGAUAACCACAGGCUGCGCAUUAAAAGCAAACACGUUGUCCUCGUCCCUAACGACCGUCAGUGGUUCUGGGUCAUCCGUGGGGAAGAGAAAGGGAUUGGUUUCUCUUGGCAACAGAAGCCCCCCCCCCCCAGGGGAAGGGGCCCCUCCUGGCCCAGAGUGCUGGGACUGUGCUGCUGCAGGACUCUCAGCGGGCAGACUGAGUCUCAGGGCACAGCAAAGGCAUCCUCUCCAGGCAGCAGUAGGCCCCUUGUGGGGAAACGCGGAUGGAACGGAGCCCUAAAUCCUGCGCUGUGGCUUUGGAGAAACAAGUUCUGAUUCUGUCUUUCACUUAAGUCACGUGGCCGGGGACACAUACCUCUCCUUCCUGAGGUUCCAGGGCCUCACGAUCCACACCAGAUGCCCACAUAGUGAGCCAGAGUCCUGUGCUGCCAGAGCCAUCUUUGAUGACUUCCACAUGACCCUGGGACUCCACCUUUCGGCUGUCCUGACCCCGCAGGGAGGGGUUGGCCAGAGAGCUAGCUGCACCUGGUACCCGCGAGUCUGAGUUCGGAUGAGCUACAUUGCAGGGCCCAGGGGCACGUGUGGCUUAGGCAGCACACAUCUAGCCCCUUGUUCACCUAACAAGCAAGGAAGAAAUCCUGAGACUGCUCGCUCCUGUGUGUGGCUCACAAUCCCACCCUUCUUCCUGUGGAAGAGGACUUAGGGGCAGGACAAGCGCCAUGGGGCAGAAGCUCAGUGCCCCUUCUCUCCUUCCAAAGCUGGGGAGAGUGGCCUGGAUUUCCCAUCAGGGCACUGGUCUGGGUGGAAAGCUGUAGUUUGCAGCCCCAGAUGGGGGGUUUCCUCCAGGCCCCUGUGCCUCCCAGCAGAGCCUUCGGCUCCUGGAGGGCAUGCAAUGGCCCAGUGGUCAGUAGAGGCAGGAUCACAGGCAGCUUCCUGAGAGCCAGUAGCCCAGCCUGGGGUACACACAUGGGGGAUCAGCAACCCUCAUACGAGGGCUCUGAAACUUAAAGCCAGAGGAGGCAUUGGCUGGGCUCUUCACCUACUAGGCCCUUUAGUCAUCUGCUGAUGGAGCAACCACCCUCAGGAGAGAGAACUGUGGGGAUGACAGGACCUGCAGCCUAAAGGACGCCCUGCCAGCCCUCUGUUCUCAUUCCUUGGGCUUUAACAGGGCCAGGUGGGAAUUGGGGAUUAUGCCUGCGUGUGUGAGUGUGUGUGUGUGAGAGAGAGAGGAGACAGAACAGACCAUGCUAUCUCCCCACUCCUAAACCUGCCCUGUUCUGGAGUAGAGGGACAAGGAUCUCUCUUCCUUGAAAUUCUAAACAGCAGCUAGACUCUUUCAGCCCUGCAGUGACUGCAGAGUUCCGGGUUGGCUGAGGUUAUUCUCAAUGGGAUGAGAGACCUGGACAAAGCAGAGCAGUUACUGCUGGAAACAAAGAGCUCAAUCAGCAAAGUUAAAAGCAAAACGAAAACACUUCCAGGUUUGCGUCUGCAGUGUGAAGACCCCUGGACGAAGGGGCGAGGUCUGGGGCGUUGCCAGGUCCUCCUCCCACAGGCAUGGGAGGUGCUUGUACAUGAGGGGUAUGGGACUCCAUGACAUUUCCAGAUAGUUCUGGAAGACUCUGUGAGCUGUCUUCGUGCCCAGCUCUGCUGUGAAGGGAGCCCUUACAGAUGCCAACCCUGCUUCCUAGCUGUAAACCUAGACAAGUUUUUGAAAAAUAUCUGCUGGACAUAGAAAGUACCGGUCAUUCAUUUGUGCUCUUGCUGAUUUCUGUUUCCUCAAGAGGUUUCCCCCAAAUGUCAUUGACUUUCAGUGAAGGAAGAGCCCCUUGCCCUGCAACACACCGCCAGGCCCAGGGAGGUGGAGCCUGCUUCCUCCAACAGCACUGUCUGACAGCCCCUCCCUGGGCCCCAACAGCACUAGAAGCACAAGUCCAGGAUCCCUGCUGUGGAUUUUUUUUUAGUUUUUUUUUUUGAGUCAAGGAGGCAAAAAAGUAACACACAAUGAAGACAAAAGGAAGAAAUGCCUGAAAAGGGACAUAGUGAUGCUUGGACAGUGCUCACCAGGGCCUGGCAUCAGAAGGGCCCGGCGGUUAUUACUGGCACAGAUGAGUUUCACUUCAGUUUCUUGGGGUGACAGGGAGAGAAGCCGCUAGAGGUACAUGAAUAGAGAAGGCGACAGCCCGGCUGCUUCCUUACCUCUGCAUUUCUUCAGGCUCUCUGUGAUGGCAUCAUGCCUUGAUUUCCUUUCCUUGAGUUUCUUCUCCAGAUCUGGAGGAAUCAACUCUGAGUCAAGGAAUUGAAACCCUUGACUCUUACAAAGACACAGCUGAGCUGGGGCUGAGGGGAAGGGAGGACAUGGAUGUGGACAGUGACAUGGAAAGGGGGGCGCAUGUGUGGGUGAACUGGGAAUGAGAGGCCAGAGCUAGGGAAAUGGGGCCAGGGAAGAGGAGACAUGGAAGUGAAAGUUAGAACAGCUGGAGAGAUGGAGGAAAGAGAGAGCAGGUGUCAGACCCCCCCCCCCAGGUGGAAGAGAAAACUUGCCAGACAAUGCAGUUACACAUCCUGCAAGAUGCAAAGGAUAACAGGAAGCUAAGUUGGGUUCGAGAAAAGCAGCUUGACCCAUGCAGCAACAUCUGCGGGCCUAGAUACCCCUGGAGACCACCAGACGCCCUCCACCCUAGAUCAAAAGACUUCCUCCACUCCAGGACAAAAAUUUCCACUCCUCCUGGCAGCACCCCUCCCCUACCCAAAGUCCCCUAUAAAGUUUCCCCUCACCCAAGCCCCCAGGGUCAAUGGCUUUGUCACCCUUGACUAGCCUGCACCCAAGCUGGAAAUAAAACCUAGCUUGUUGCUUCAUUUUUGCCUGCUCUGGUGGUCUCGGGCAUGCCUCAGUUUACCCUAACAGCAGGGGAGAAGGGAGAUGGAGUAGGGAACUUGGAACCACCCAGUGAAGCAAGGGGACACACAGGAGGCGCCAGGAAAUUGAAGACUGCUGAAGAACCAGGAAGCUAGAGAAACAGCUGUUUUCUUCACCAAGUGGCCCACAUGCUAAGGUUUUUGGCUCAGGCCUUCUGCACCCACAGCCUGGUUAGUGGAUUGCGGAGUCAGAAUGUGCAGAGCAUUUGGGGGAAUGCGAAGUGUGCUGCAGCCACAAACGAAUAGGUAGGCAUAGUGUGGGACAGCCUGUCAUAACUGCACAGUAUAACCUAAUGUCCUAGAAGAGAAAGAGAUGGCACAGCCUCAGGGCUUGGCUGCAUCACAGACCCCUGGCUGGGGGUCUCCACUUCCCCACCUCGCCUCCCACCCACCCUGGAGGGGAGCUCCAGAAGCGCCCGACACCAGGUGGACAGUGAAUGGAUUAGACCGGCAGAGAAUCCAAGCAAAGAGGAGGAGAGGAAAAUAAGAUUCGGAAGAUGACAUUCAUUUCACUGAACCUGGGGAGCCUUGCAAGCAGAAUGUAUGGAAGGCUGGAGAGGCUUUACAGGGUGUUUCUUAAAAGAAAGACUCUUGACCUGGUGGGGCUGGGAUGCGUGCAGGGGAGACCAGCUCAGCUUGCUUUGUGCACCACCACACCUGUACUGUCCAAUGUGGUGGCACCAAACAUGGUACCGACACCUCAAACAUGGCUGGAGCAACGAGGAACCACGUCUUAAAGUGAGUUUUCUCUAACUCAUAAAUUAAGAACUAGCAGGUCAUGGUGGUGCAUGCCUGUAAUCCCAGCACUCGGGAGGCUGAGGCAGGAAGAUCAUUGAAAGUUUGGGGCCAGCCUGGGAUACGUAGUGAGACCCUGUCUCAAAAACAAAAAACAAACAAACUCAUAACAGAAUAUAUCACUAAUAUUUAAAAACACUUACUGAGAUAGCCCGUAGUUCAGUCUCCUGAGUGCUGGGAUUGCAAGCGUGUGCCACUACUCCCAGCAAUAUUUUAAAAAUAGUGGGUACAGGGUGAAAUUGAUGACCUUUGGAUAUAUUGAGUUACAUAAAAUAGUUUACUAAAAUUAUUUCACCACUUCCUUUCUAUCUUUUUAUUGUGGCUACCAGAAAAAAAUUUAAAUUACAUAUGUGGCUUGCAGUGUAUUUCUGAAUCACAUUAUUGUGGCUCACAUUAUAUUUUAAAUUAAACACAUGACCCAUUUCAUAUUUCUGAUUUAUACAUGUGGUCUACUUUGUAUUUCUUUCUUUUUUUCUUUUCUUUUUUUUUUUUUUUUGGUACCGGGGAUCAAACUAGGAACCUUGCACUUUCGAGGCAGGCGGCAGAACCACUGAGCUACAUCCCCGGCCCUGUACUUCAUAUUUAGGAUUUACACCGGCAGCCCACUUCUUAUUUCUGUUUCUGUUUUGGUUUGGGUUUUGGUACAGGGACUCUAACUCAGGACCUUGCGCUUGCCGGCCCGACGACGUAGUGCCGCUGAGCUACAUCCCUGGCCCUCACUUCCUAUUGCUGAGUUACACACGAGUGAGGCCGAUGUGUUUGUGCUGGACGGCGCUGGGCUGAGGGAGACGACUGAGACGGUCUUCCCACCAGGUUCUUGGGGCCCUAACCAGCGACGAUAGGAGGCUGCCAGCCGGCUGCAACUCCGCCGUCAAGGGGCCCUCGCCGGGCAGCCGUCUGGGCGGCGUCCGCUGCCGGGACCUGAGGGAGCCCCUGAGCGUCUUGAGAGAGUCCGGCUGCAGCUCAGCGCGCAGAUGCAGCGCGUCCCGCGCUGCACAUUCGCAUCCGGCCAGCGGAGCCGCAACAGCAGGACAUGCUCUCCUCCUCCAAACCUGCCACAGGGGAUCAAAUUCCACGGGGAUCCUGAGCCUCUCAACCGCCACUCAGGUCUAGGGACAAGGGAAAGGGACACAGGGAGGAGAGGGUGGCCCCCAACUCCUCCUAGCCCACUCUACUCAGUCUUUGAAAGUGUUAGGCUUAUACCAAAUGCCUUGCUGAGCAUCGCCCCGCGGCUGAUCUGCAGGGAGGGAGGGAAAGGGCAGGAGGGCCCCCCAGGUUUCUAACCAGGUGGGCAGCAGCUCCUCCCAGUCUCCCUGCCGAGACUGAGGGGCUGGGCAGCUUCGCGGCAGAGAGCCAGGGAGGCUGCGUGGACGCGAGCUCUGCCGGGCAGGAAGAGGAAACAGGAGCAGGGGGAAAAGAUUCUUCACGUUGGAGGAGCGGGAGGAGGGAAACAAGGAGGGAAAAGAAAGUAAGCAAACAACGGAAAAGAGUAAAGAUUCAAAUGCAGGGGCACUGUAGAGGGAAACGGGUGGGCAGUCCUGUCUACCCUGCCACCUUUGGAGGGCCAGUGUGUGCUUGAACGUGUGUGCUGCUUAUAAAACAGGGCAAGUGCUCCGGAGCUUUGGACUAAGUAAAGAAAUGUUCAUGAGGCAAUUGACAGACCCAAAGGACCAGGGCACCAAAGCCCACUUGAAGGUGACUUCCUGUCAGCUUCAGGUAAGGAAUGCAGAGGCUAAUGCUUCCCAGAAGGUCACAGCGGCUGUAACUCCUCGAAAACAAGACCUAACCAGAAAACAGGCCUUGGUGUGAUUUUCAGGAUGUUCAUCAUAGCAGCCCUACCCCCAAAAUAAGUCCCAGCUGAGAUCAGCAGCCAGAUGGGCACAUUAGUAAUUAAAUAUAAAUAAUACUUAAAAUACUUGAACCACCAGGUGUGGUGGCGCACACCUGUGAUCCUGGCACUGGAGAGGCUGACGCAGGAGGAUCACAGCGAGUUCGAGGCCAGGCAGGGCUACAUAGUGAGACUCUGUCUCAAAAAAACCCAAACAAACCAAAGCAAACACCUUGAUACUUAAAUGAUAAUCAUUAACACUUAAAUAAAUAAUAAUAAAACUAUAAUUAAGUAUUUGUAAAUAGCCAAGCAGGCACAAGAGGUAAACUCAAGAAUUAUUGCUGCAUGACCAGAGUACAGACACAACGUGUGAAUAACAUGCACACUUGAUAAAUAGAUGAGAUUGUUUGACAUGAAUCUUAAUAAUUCAAUACACUGUGUAUUAUAACAGACACACUUAAUGCACUUGUGUGAAAUAAACAUUUUCUGAAUUUUGGUGCCUGC
rnacentral:lncRNA from 1 species